rnacentral:rRNA from 1 species
GCAUAUCAAUAAGCGGAGGAAAAGAAACCAACAGGGAUUGCCCCAGUAACGGCGAGUGAAGCGGCAACAGCUCAGAUUUGGAAUCUGGCCCCCAGGGCCCGAGUUGUAAUCUGGAGAGGAUGCUUCUGGCGCGGCGCCUUCCGAGUUCCCUGGAACGGGACGCCGGAGAGGGUGAGAGCCCCGUACGGUUGGACGCCUAGCCUUUGUGAAGCUCCUUCGACGAGUCGAGUAGUUUGGGAAUGCUGCUCAAAAUGGGAGGUAAAUUUCUUCUAAAGCUAAAUACCGGCCAGAGACCGAUAGCGCACAAGUAGAGUGAUCGAAAGAUGAAAAGCACUUUGAAAAGAGGGUCAAACAGUACGUGAAAUUGUUGAAAGGGAAGCGCCCGUGGCCAGACUUGUGCCCCGCGGACCACCCGGCGCCCUCAGCGCCGGUGCACUCCGCGGGGCGCAGGCCAGCAUCGGUUUUCCUAGGGGGAUAAAGGCGGCGGGAACGUGGCUCCUUCGGGAGUGUUAUAGCCCGUCGUGCCAUGCCCCUGGGGGGACCGAGGACCGCGCUUCGGCAAGGAUGCUGGCGUAAUGGCCACCGGCGACCCGUCUUGAAACACGGACCAAGGAGUCAAGCAUUGGGGCGAGUGUCUGGGUGCCAAACCCGCACGCGAAAUGAAAGUGAACGCAGGUGAGAGCUUCGGCGCAUCAUCGACCGAUCCUGAUGUUCUCGGAUGGAUUUGAGUAAGAGCCUUACCGCUUGGACCCGAAAGAUGGUGAACUAUGCCUGUAUAGGGUGAAGCCAGAGGAAACUCUGGUGGAGGCUCGCAGCGGUUCUGACGUGCAAAUCGAUCGUCAAAUAUGGGCAUGGGGGCGAAAGACUAAUCGAACCAUCUAGUAGCUGGUUACCGCCGAAGU